CUCGACAAGUAGAGUUCAAGCAACAAGCAGCCCAGAGUCAUCAACACAGAGGAUUGAGUUAACGUCAAGCGAUCUUAAGCUCCUUUUGUUUGGAUCCAUCCAAAAGGGACUUCUUUUCCCGAAACCCAAACCGAAUCCAUCAUCGGAAGUGAAAAGAUUGGAUGAAACCUUAAUCCAACACUUGAAGAACUCGCUUUCUCGCACACUAGCUUUUUUCACCCCACUUGCAGGCCGCCUAGCAAUAGAAGAACACGAUGAUGAAACUGCCUCUUUCUUCAUCGAAUGCAACAAUGCCGGAAUCCAAUUUGUUCAUGCUGUGGCCGAUGAUAUUACCAUUUCUGACAUCCUCGAACCCAUCUAUGUUCCUCCCUUUGUUCACUCAUUCUUUCCGCUAAAUGGGGUAAGAAACUACGAGGGUGUUUCCAAACCAUUGCUAGCUGUUCAAGUUACAGAGCUUGUCGAUGGAAUCUUUAUAGCUUGCACCAUGAACCAUUCAGUU
rnacentral:misc_RNA from 1 species